rnacentral:tRNA from 1 species
GCCUUUGUGAUGUAGUGGUCAGCCUACUUGGAGCGUAUUCGAGAGGUCCGAGGUUCGAGUCCCGGCGAGGGCA